rnacentral:rRNA from 1 species
CAAGCGGUGGAGCAUGUGGUUUAAUUCGAUGCAACGCGAAGAACCUUACCUGGUCUUGACAUCCACGGAAGUUUUCAAAGAUGAGAAUGUGCCUUCGGGAACCGUGAGACAGGUGCUGCAUGGCUGUCGUCAGCUCGUGUUGUGAAAUGUUGGGUUAAGUCCCGCAACGAGCGCAACCCUUAUCCUUUGUUGCCAGCGGUCCGGCCGGGAACUCAAAGGAGACUGCCAGUGAUAAACUGGAGGAAGGUGGGGAUGACGUCAAGUCAUCAUGGCCCUUACGACCAGGGCUACACACGUGCUACAAUGGCGCAUACAAAGAGAAGCGACCUCGCGAGAGCAAGCGGACCUCAUAAAGUGCGUCGUAGUCCGGAUUGGAGUCUGCAACUCGACUCCAUGAAGUCGGAAUCGCUAGUAAUCGUGGAUCAGAAUGCCACGGUGAAUACGUUCCCGGGCCUUGUACACACC